rnacentral:rRNA from 1 species
CGCUGGCGGCGUGCCUAAUACAUGCAAGUCGAACGCACUCUCGUUUAGAUUGAAGGAGUUUGCUCCUGAUUGAUAAACAUUUGAGUGAGUGGCGGACGGGUGAGUAACACGUGGGUAACCUGCCCUAAAGUGGGGAUAACAUUUGGAAACAGAUGCUAAUACCGCAUAAAACCUAACACCGCAUGGUGUAGGGUUGAAAGAUGGUUUCGGCUAUCACUUUAGGAUGGACCCGCGGUGCAUUAGUUAGUUGGUGAGGUAAAGGCUCACCAAGACCGUGAUGCAUAGCCGACCUGAGAGGUAAUCGGCCACACUGGGACUGAGACACGGCCCAGACUCCUACGGGAGGCAGCAGUAGGGAAUCUUCCACAAUGGACGAAAGUCUGAUGGAGCAACGCCGCGUGAGUGAAGAAGGUUUUCGGAUCGUAAAACUCUGUUGUUGGAGAAGAAUGUAUCUGAUAGUAACUGAUCAGGUAGUGACGGUAUCCAACCAGAAAGCCACGGCUAACUACGUG